CUCCCAGAGUCCUGCUCAGAGUCUUGUUCUUCAGGAAAAGAGCUUUGGAGGGACCCUCUUGUUCCCACAUGGAGCCAGCUCCCUCCAGAAUAUUGAGGCUGAAGUGGAAAGAUCUGCAAUAGAGGAGAUUCUCGUGUUGGGUACUACUGAUCCUUCUCGCCACAGCACUGGGGGCUUUUGCCCAUUUUCCUGGAUAUAAUCAUGGACAGCAGAGCCAGCAGCCAGGCACAGGCACCACACAAGGAUCACCAGAGAGGGACAAGCCAGGCACGUGUUUGUCCUGCUGUUUUGGCUUGGAUUCACCUCUAGCCCCUGGCUCUCACUCCACGUGCCCAUGGCUCUCCAGUGCCAUCCCACAGCUCCUGUGGGCUUUGCCCAGCUCAGGAUGGCAGGGCCAUGUGCAGGGAGGCACCAGCAGCUGCUCCUUCCACUCCUUUCCAAUGCAAGACCCAGUUUCAUGGGGAGAUGAUGAGACCUGGCUUUGCUCUGGACACAAACCUGACCGUGCUGGUGUGGGGGGGUUGAGGAUUUGGGCCUGGUUUGGGGUGCUCUCACAGACUGCACUUGCAACAUGGGCACAGGCAGGAAAGGUGAGCAGCACUGAUCCCUGCCUGGCUGUUAGGAUUGGCAAACUCUGCUGCCAGAUCGUGCCUGUUGAAUCCCUCCUAUUUCAUAGUGGAGGGGGCCCACAGGCAUUUGGAAAUGGGCACUGGCUCAUUAGAGAUAUCAGGGGCUUGAGCCCAGCUCAGAUCUCUGACCACAUCUGUAAUCCUUCUUGUUAGGGUGGCUGGUACAGCCCCAGAGCCCAGCCUGGCAGUGCUGGGCUGGCAGAGACCUGGGCCCUCCCUGCUGGGAUGCUACAAGUCCCCGUGGGUUGCAGCCCUCUCCAGCUUUAUAAUGUGGGCUGCUCUUUCUCAGCUGCUGGGAAAGCCUCACCACCAGAGAGACAUCAUUAGUUUUGAUUAAUGACAUCCAGAAGAGAAAACCUAAUUUUCUAAAAAGGAAAACCUUACCCAUAACUCACUGCAGAGAAUUUAAACAAAAUGUUAUAGAACAUCCACGCUGACUCACAUUGAUUUCAAAUAUGUUCCAAGGCACUCCCCAAAGCAAAGAAAGGGGGAUGGUGGGGACAAAUCUGGUCCCCAGCAGAAGAUGCUCAGUGUAACCCCACAUCUCUCUCCCACAAUGCUGCUUUCAAAGGACUGACCCCAAACCAACAGGGCUGGGACAGUGCCCACAUACCUGGGGAGCAGACUGUGUUUGAGGUGUGAUGCUCAGGCAGUUUGGUGCACUCUAUCCCAAAACCCAUGUGCCCAUCAGGACUUAGCUCUGUACAGUCUUGGUCGCUAAUGGCAUCUCCACCUAUACCAAACCACCAGCAGAUAAUUACUUUCCUUUGCCUCCUGUAAGUUAGCAAAGGAUGAAUUUAAUACUUCCAGGUCUUCACUGUCUAAGUUUCCAUUUAGUUCCUUGGCUUGAUUGUCUCUUGAAAAGGUACCUACAGAUAACUUGAUUAAAUUAAUUGUAGAGCUCUUUUUAAAACGCUAUUCUCUCUCCCUUUCUCUCUCCAUCUCUCUCUCCAUUUAUUUAUAGGCAGCUUAGAGUAACGGGUUUGGGCAGUUAAGUGAUCUGCAGUGCUUACCGUGACAAUGCGAAGCCUGUAAUUCUUCAAGAGAUAAAAUGCUGGCCCACUUGCAAUAUUUCUGCAUGCAGAGGUUCCAAGCACAGGUGCUUUUCCCUGGUAUCAUCUUGCAGCAUGGUGGGCUGCGAGGGAGAGGGGGGAAAAGUCACCUUUGCCUUAUGACGCAUAUAAAUUCUUUAAAUAGGUUAUGCACAUGGCAAUGUGCAAUAUCUGCGCGUGGCUCCGGGUUAAGGAGGAAAGGCCUGACUUUAUUGGCUCCCACUGCAGAAAUGAUCGGAGCUGCUGUGAUUUUUUAAAUUUGAUUUACUGGGUUAUUUUUAGCAGUGGGGUGUUCGUGCUGCAGGGCUCUCCAGGAGAAAUCAACACCCCAGUGCUGAGAUGUGAACCAUCACAGGAGUGACUUGGACAGCAGUGGUGUAGCAGGGACUUGCUUUCCCCAUUUGGUGACAAAUUGCCAGAUUAUGAUAUUGCAAGAAAGAAAAGCUUUUUUUUUCUUUUUUUUUCCCUUUAAUUCCUCCCUUUUGUUUCUUUUCCACUACUUUCCUGUUGGUUUCUGGUGAUGGCAAAUAACAACCAUUGCUUGAGCAGGCCUUAAACCUCCUGAAAAUGCUGAUUUUAAUGCCAGAUGAGAAAACACAGGAGGCUUCACAGUAGGGAAGCAAAGUUUGCUAACCUCUAAAAAAAGAUUUCAGGUGUUCCAGCCUUUUCCCUCCCAUUUUUCAAGGAGAGCCCUGAGGGGAGAAGAGUUCCGCAGCCUGAGUUCCUUGGCUGUGGGCUGGGCUGGUUGUAGCAGACGACAUCUGUGUUGCUGUGUGUUAGGUGUCAUUUCAGACACCAAAACAGGGCGUGGAGGAGGACAGCACACCAUAAAACACUGAAAGGAAAGGAGGCAGGAGGUGAUAAUUAAAGCAUCUGGAUGAAAACAGUAGAUAACAUUUACUUAUGUCACACUGUAAUAGCAACGUGGCUCUCAGAACAGACAGAGCCAAAUAUCAAGUUUAAAAACGCUUCAGGCUGAUGGUUACUGCUGCAGACUAUUCCACUGCUGUUCAACCUGCCUCUUUAAUUCAGUCCCACUCUUCAGCUGUAGCCUCUAAGAAGCUUAAAUAAAUCCUGACUGCCUGAAAGUGAAGCCAUUUGAACCAGUGCGGCAUCAGGCAGCAAGUUCAGAAGAGGUCCAGGCAGCUGGGAAAGAAAAGACCCUGAGGAAUUCUCUUCUCUGCUGCCACAGCCCAUGAGGCCAAAUGCUUUGCUAAAGCUGGUAAAAUGGAACCAAAUCAACUGUUCAAUGGAUUUGGUCCCCUUCAACCAGCUGUAGCUGUGCAUUGAUCUCUCAGACGCACCUUGGAGGAUGAAACACUUGAACCCGACCAGGGCGGCUCAGGUAGAAGACAAAUGGCCACUUGAACACUGCUGAUAAGGAAAUGAUGAUGAUUGGCAUCUACAGAUCUAUCACUCGGGCUCUAAACUGGUGGGCUGAGCCCGAGUCAUUAUGUGGUUGCCAGUCAAUUCUGCCUAAGGGAGACCACUCAAGAUUGAUAAUCCCUAUCACCCUCCUCCAUUGAUCUCAGCUGUAACCCAGUGUGUUCCCAUUACAAAUGCUGUGCAUUUUCAUAUGUGUUUGCUCAUGCUCACCUAGUAGCCCCAUGCCUCAGUGUUUCAUCUGCUGCAGGGAAGAAUAAAGGUUUUGAUCUGAA